rnacentral:rRNA from 1 species
UACAGAGGUCUCAAGCGUUGUUCGGAUUCAUUGGGCGUAAAGGGUGCGUAGGCGGCGCGGUAAGUCGGGUGUGAAAUCUCGGAGCUUAACUCCGAAACUGCAUUCGAUACUGCCGUGCUUGAGGACUGGAGAGGAGACUGGAAUUUACGGUGUAGCGGUGAAAUGCGUAGAUAUCGAGAGGAACACCUGCGGCGAAGGCGGGUUGCUGGGCCGACACUGACGCUGAGGCGCGAAAGCUAGGGGAGCAAACGGG